UUGGUUAAUUAAGGUAUGAUAUAACAAAUCAAGAAAAAUGAUUAAGUUUAAGUGUGUAUAAUGACGAAAUAUGCAAAAAGAAUUCGUCAUCACAUGAAAACAGCCUUUGCAUCAUUUCGUAGUGAAUCCGAAAUAAAACAUAGUGACAAGGAAUCUAACUGAAAACAAUAACUCGAAAGUAACACUUAAGAGCCAAAAACAUAAAGAAAGGAGAUAAGCCAGUGGAUUAAAUUAUGUCUACGCUCUUACGACCUGACGACUCUGCUUCGCCUUGUAGGCAGAGUAAUCCAGAAAAUGCUCAAUCCCUAAAUAGUAUGAGCCAAAGUUGGUCUUCUCGAGUUCCCUCAAAGCGUAGGACGUCUUCAGGGUGUAUGCACCUUCCAACUGGUCAGUGCCGGUCCGAGCAUUUGUGAGACCCUACACGAAAUAUAAAAUGAGGCCCUGAUAUUUAUUAACAAUAUUUAACAUAUGAUUUUUUUUAUAUAUGUUAAUUUUUAUUAUUGUUUUAAAAAAAUAUCCAAAAAAAUGGGCUUCAAUAUCACUAAUUUAACUAAGUAAAAUUUCAAAAUGGGCCUCAAUAACCAAAAAAAUACUAAAAAAAAAAAAAAACAAAAAAAAAAAAAUUGUGGGACCCCAAGCAGUGGCUUGGGUAGCCUGUCCUGCGCGCCGGGCCUGCAACUGGUCACCCUUCUUCGGCACAGCUAUAUUUUUUAUCAAUCUUCAGCAUAGCCUAUGAAAAAUUUUUAUCCAUCACCAAGUGUCGUUAGCUCAACUGGUAAAGACCCUACGUGAAGCUUAGAAGUCGCCGGUUCGAGUGACGCUUAGGACGAAACUAAUAUUAAAUAUUGUGGUUUCGGGUGGGGAAAUUACGGGCUUUGGCCCAGAACCUCCUAUUAUUCAAAAAAAAAAAAUGUUUUAUCCAUCAAAAUGGUUUCCAACAUUCUUUAGGGGUUCAACAUCUCGGAUAUGAAAGUAAACCAUCGUAAAAAGUAAGCACUAUCUUCCGACGUGCAAAAAUGUUCUUGUUUGGUGAUUCUAAACAGAAAAAAACAUGAUCAUUCAGGUGUCUUGUUUAUUAGAUCUUCUGUUCUAGACACUUGUGAAACUUUUAAGAAUAGGAUCACAAGACUACCUGUUACAUAUCUCGUCAAGGAUAUUCACAGUUAGACAAUUCAUCGAACACCAUCAUGUGUACAUAUACAUAGUCUUGAUACGUUUUACUUGUUAAUCUCAGAUAAGACAAAGUAAAAAGAAGAACUUGAUAUUGAUAAUAAAGAAAAGGUACAGAUUUGAGAGAAAUGCUUACGGAUUCUCUCCCCUCCUCCUUACAACUCCUUUACGGCUUUACCAAAUU
rnacentral:lncRNA from 1 species